GAUGAACGCUGGCGGCGUGCCUAAUACAUGCAAGUCGAGCGAACAGACGAGGAGCUUGCUCCUCUGACGUUAGCGGCGGACGGGUGAGUAACACGUGGAUAACCUACCUAUAAGACUGGGAUAACUUCGGGAAACCGGAGCUAAUACCGGAUAAUAUAUUGAACCGCAUGGUUCAAUAGUGAAAGACGGUUUUGCUGUCACUUAUAGAUGGAUCCGCGCCGCAUUAGCUAGUUGGUAAGGUAACGGCUUACCAAGGCAACGAUGCGUAGCCGACCUGAGAGGGUGAUCGGCCACACUGGAGCUGAGACACGGUCCAGACUCCUACGGGAGGCAGCAGUAGGGAAUCUUCCGCAAUGGGCGAAAGCCUGACGGAGCAACGCCGCGUGAGUGAUGAAGGUCUUCGGAUCGUAAAACUCUGUUAUUAGGGAAGAACAAAUGUGUAAGUAACUAUGCACGUCUUGACGGUACCUAAGCAGAAAGCCACGGCUAACUACGU
rnacentral:rRNA from 1 species